UUAGGUUUUGCAGCAAAUGCUCUGGAAUGGAGAAGCCACGGACUGCCUGGGGGCAUGUGCUGGAAACAACAGGAAGGUGAGAACAGUGGACCAACCACAUAUUUUGGACUUAACCCAGUGAAUGGCAACUGUAUGCAUGGAUUGAGAGAGAGGGAAGAGAGAACGAGAGAGAAAGGGCACUAGCUGUGAGGAGAGCCAUCAUGUCUGAGUGGCCCCCUGGAGAGGUUCAAACAGCAAGGAGCUAAGGCCUCUUGU
rnacentral:lncRNA from 1 species